UGGUGGAGUGAUUUGUCUGGUUAAUUCCGUUAACGAACGAGACUUUAUCCUGCUAAAUAGACACUGCAGUUUCGACUGCAGCUGUGCUUCUUAGAGGGACUCUGUAUGUUUAAUACAGUGAAGGAAAGCAAUAACA
rnacentral:rRNA from 1 species